rnacentral:lncRNA from 1 species
UUAUCAGGACAUACAAAAUUUUCUUUUAGCGUUGAAAACAUUUUGCUAUGGAUCAAACUGAGAGCCUUCCAGUUCUGUAUAUUCGAGCCAGAAGUCACUACGAUGUAGGCUUUUCUAUUGGCACUACCUUCAAAGGAUGGAUUCAGGACUACAUGGGCACUUCAAACGAAUUUAAGCAGUAUAGAACGUUUUACAACGGAAAAUUCGUUUAAGGGUCACUUCGUGUUGUUGCCUUUUGGUCCCUAAGCGCUGUCAAGCGAAACAGCUGCAUGGAACAAUCUCGUGAAAGGCAUUUCCAAGGACGUUACAGACCAAGUACAAUGGAAAGACUGAGGUCAAGGUCAGAAACGUUCCUCUCGAGGGAGAUGCGGAUGAACAGUGUUACUUCUUUCAUCAAAAUCAUUAUAAACACAUAGCUGCUGAAGAAACUGGACCUUGCACUGGAUCAAAGCUUCGAGACAAGAGAACCAGCGAAAUGCCUGAACCGGAAACUGUUGAUGACGUCAAAGCUAUUCUUGGUGAUACAGAAGAUGGCGUAGAACCAGUCUAUCGCAUGCCUUGUGCUUCACACUUUGCACCGGAUAUGAAAACGGUGGCAACUGCAGUUUUCAGUAUCACUGAAAGACUGUUACAUAUCUACCGAGCUAAUCCCAAGUUAGCAUCAGCUCCUUGUCUGACUCUGCCAUUUCUGUGAGGAGUAGGGGAGAUUAUGCUUGGAUGUGUUCUUUUUCAGUAUGCUAGAUAUAAGUUUCGAAAGAGAAUGACCAGUAGACUACGAGAAAACCUCAUCAGUGAUAAAAUAUGAAAAUAUCCAGACUAUAUUCACACAUACUGCAUUUUAGCCCACCAUCAUCAGAUGGUGGGCUAUUCAGAUCACUCUGCGUCCGUCGUCCGUCCGUUAACAAUUUCUCGUUAUUGCAUCUCCUCAGAAAUUACUGGGUGGAUUUUGACCAAACUUUGUCAGAAUGAUGUAUUGGUACCCUAGUUGUGUCCCCCUGAAAAUCAGACUGGUUCAACAAUUUUUUAACGAGUUAAGGCCCUUUGUUUA